UCUCCCUUUAUUUGGCACUCAUUAGACCACAUCAAGAUAUUACAUCCAGUUUUAGCCCCCCAGUACAGGAAAGACAUUAACAAACUGGAGUAAAUUCAGCAAA